AUUGAACGCUGGCGGCAUGCCUUACACAUGCAAGUCGAACGGCAGCACGGGAGCAAUCCUGGUGGCGAGUGGCGAACGGGUGAGUAAUAUAUCGGAACGUGCCCGGUCGUGGGGGAUAACGUAGCGAAAGCUACGCUAAUACCGCAUACGAUCUACGGAUGAAGCGGGGGAUCGCAAGACCUCGCGCGAUUGGAGCGGCCGAUAUCAGAUUAGGUAGUUGGUGAGGUAAAGGCUCACCAAGCCGACGAUCUGUAGCUGGUCUGAGAGGACGACCAGCCACACCGGGACUGAGACACGGCCCAGACUCCUACGGGAGGCAGCAGUGGGGAAUUUUGGACAA
rnacentral:rRNA from 1 species